GAUGAACGCUGGCGGCGUGCCUAAUACAUGCAAGUCGAGCGAACAGACGAGGAGCUUGCUCCUCUGACGUUAGCGGCGGACGGGUGAGUAACACGUGGAUAACCUACCUAUAAGACGGGGAUAACUUCGGGAAACCGGAUCUAAUACCGGAUAAUAUAUUGAACCGCAUGGUUCAAUAGUGAAAUACGGUUUUGCUGUUACUUAUAGAUGGAUCCGCGUCGAAUUAGCUAGUUGGUAAGGUAACGGAUUACCAAGGCAACGAUGCGUAGCCGACCUGAGAGGGUGAUCGCCCACACUGGAACUGAGACACGGCCCAGACUCCUACGGGAGGCAGCAGUAGGGAAUCUUCGGCAAUGGGCGAAAGCCUGACGGAGCAACGCGGCGUGAGUGAUGAAGGUCUUCGGAUCGUAAACCUCUGUUAUUAGGGAAGAACAAAUGUGUAAGUAACUAUGCACGUCUUGACGGUACCUAAUCAGAAAGCCACGGCUAACUACGUG
rnacentral:rRNA from 1 species